AGACCCACUGGCUUUCGGGCACGCGCACGGUGCACGUGCUGCAAUGCGCAGCUCGACUGCGCAGAAAACCGAGCAAAGACAGGAAAUGCUCUCUUUCCACAUGAAGACGGCCGCGACGGCAGCUGUGGAGAAGUGUUUGUCUCCACUUGGUUUUUAUGAUCCAGUUGCUGCAUUGAUUCAGCAACCACCAAAUCCCUCAGCUGCGUGGACUUGAAAAGCUCCAUCUUAUCUGAAAGCAGAGAACUUCUUGUCUGCUGGGUUUUUGGUGGGAGCAGGAACUGGAUGGCCUCAUCUCUGACAAGCAGAGAAAGGUAACCCUUGUAUGUGGCGUGUUGGACUGUAUUUCAGAUUCUGGAUCUGCCAUGUUUUUUACAAAAUGUAAUGUUUGUUUACCAUAGACAUUUAUGUGACUUUUUUUUAAAUAAAGCAUUAAACUUCCUGA